UCAAGAUGUGUCGUAUUUAGAUUAUUACAAGCAAGUAGGUUCACUGUGGGAAAUCAUUGAGUGAUAAUUUUGACAGCCAGGACAACCCACUAAGAACCAGAUAAUUAUGACAGCCAAGACCACAAUAUCACUACCACGUCACUGGCUUCUGAACUUGAACUGUCUAGCCACUUUGUGUGUGCUUUUAUUGUGCUG